GGAGAAAGAGCUUGUCCUCAAGCUUGGAAGCAGGAUAAGCAACUCAGAAUUGGUCCAGUGGUUCCUAGGUAGCAUCGGCAUAGGGCAUACCAUCCCAACAAACUAAUACUUUCCAAGAGCCUCUAUUGAGCCAAACACGAAGAACUUUAGUUGGCAUAGGAACCACAUGUCCUUCAGUAAUAGGUGGUAAGGUAGGAGAUAUGGCAGGAGGAUCACCGUCGAAAUGAUUUGAGCAAGGAGACGUGGAAGAUGUCGUGAAUCUUGUUGGAAGAAGGGAGUGCCAACUGAUAAGCUACUUCCCCAAUACUGCUCAAAACCUUGAAAGGACCAUAGUAUCGAGGUGCAAGUUUGUGGCAAUGUUGCUGAGUGAUUGAUAGGUGAUUGUAACGUGAGUAGCACAAAAGCAAAGUAAUUCCUUCCAAAAAUGACUGGUGAAGAUAACAUCCUAGUCACUGACAAUAGUCUCGGGUAACCUGUGUAACUUGAAAAUAUUAGCAAAGAAAGCAUAGGCUACACUCACUUCUGUAUACGAAUGAGAUAAGGGAAUAAGAUGAGCAUACUUGAAGAAGCGAUCCGCUACUACAAAUAACACCAUUAACUUUUAGCAAGUCAUCGAUGAAAUCCAUUGAGAUGUCAGCCCAGAUUUUGUUUAGUAAGGCUAAUGGCUGGAGAAGGCCUACAGGAUGCAAAUGUUCUGUUUGGUUGUGCUAACAAACCAAGCAAGUUUCAUCAAAUUCCCAAACUGUUUUUCUCAUCCCUUGCCAAUAAAAAUCAUGUUGUACUCACUGCAAUGUUUUUUGAACCCCUUCAUAAGUGCCAUUAUGUAUAGUUGCCAGCACCAAGAAAAUUAUUGGAAAAGUAGACAAUAAAUAAACUUUAUUGUAAAAGAAAAUAAGAUCAUUAGUCACUGACCCGUCCGUGCCAU
rnacentral:misc_RNA from 1 species